UACGAAGGGGGCUAGCGUUGCUCGGAAUGACUGGGCGUAAAGGGCGCGUAGGCGGCUUGCACCGUCAGAUGUGAAAUUCCUGGGCUUAACCUGGGGGCUGCAUUUGAUACGUGUGGGCUUGAGUGCGGAAGAGGGUCGUGGAAUUCCCAGUGUAGAGGUGAAAUUCGUAGAUAAUGGGAAGAACACCGGUGGCGAAGGCGGCGACCUGGUCCGUGACUGACGCUGAGGCGCGAAAGCGUGGGGAGCAAACAGG
rnacentral:rRNA from 1 species